rnacentral:rRNA from 1 species
CGCGUAGGUGGUUUGGUAAGUCGGAUGUGAAAUCUCUGAGCUUAACUCAGGAACUGCGUUCGAAACUGCCUCACUCGAGAGUGGGAGAGGGAAGUGGAAUUCCCGGUGUAGGGGUGAAAUCCUUAGAUAUCGGGAAGAACACCGAUGGCGAAGGCAACUUCCUGGCCCAUUUCUGACACUGAGGUGCGAAAGCGUGGGGAGCGAACG